AUGGCUCCCCAAAUACGUGGUACGAAGUCAGCCUCCGGGACAAAGUCAUCCUCCUCCAGCACAUGUCGGAUCAGGAAGAGGCGGACGGUGGAGGAGGCGCUGCUCACCGCAUCUUGGGCACGAGACAUUGGGCCGGAUCUAUCAGUGGAGGCCAUUGGGCAGUUUCUCUCACUAUGGCAGAGGGUGUCGGACACGCGGCUGGAGGAAAACACAAAAGACACCUUUACUUGGUCCUGGUCAUUGGACGGGCAGUUCUCAGCCAAGUCUGCGUACGAGGCGAGAUUCAUGGGUGGAGAAGUUUCUCCCACGGCUUCAUUCACGUGGAAGUCGGGAGCCCCGCUCAAGUGUCGUUUCUUCGCCUGGCUUGCCCUAAGGGGACGGGUGUGGACCUCGGACAGACUGGCACGACGUGGCCUACUGCACCAGGAUACCUGCCCGCUCUGCGACCAACAUGACGAAACAAUCCAGCACCUACUGGUAGGUUGCGUUUUCGCAAGACAGGUAUGGAGAUGGCUGAGUGUCAGAACAGGUAGGGAUGCCUUCGAACCAAGGCAUGACGAGAGCCUACAGGCUUGGUGCACCAGGCAGGAUCGGGGCAGGCAGGACACGAAGAACAUUCGGGCAUUGAGCAUCCUUGGCAUGUGGCUCAUCUAG
rnacentral:rRNA from 1 species